CUUACUUCCGUUUCAAUAUGAGUUUUAAGUAACUCUCCGGUAGGCAGCGCUAUCUCUAGUAUGGGCAUUCGCUUAUCUGUCAAAAUCGGCCGGUUACAUGUUUAUCUUUCGAAAGUAAAUCGCUAUAAUUUAAUAAUUGUUUCUCUUCAUAUUGGCAUAUUGUAGCAGUGAUGAUAGUGAUAUGGAAUUAUUUCAAAUGAUAAUGGAUUGUGAUGCAGAUAGUGAUAGUGAGGCCGAUAUCAUAUGGUUAGGAAAAUAAAGAUCGUCUGAAUUACAUGGCGAAGAUCAAUAAUUACGAAUUUGACUAUAGAUUUCUGAGCAAAGGUGUUGUGAAUGAAUUGAUUAAUUUAAUGAGACCAUAUUUGAGUGUAACGUCAAAAAGGUAAGAUAAAUUUUAACCAUAAAAGUACUCGUUAUUACAACUUAUAUUUGUUUAUAGCAAUAGCAAAAUUAUACCUAAUUUUUGUUGUGUUACAAAAUCACACUCAACAGGAAUUCUAUAAUACUGCUGGAUUCCCAUGGUGCCCUAAAUGACAUUCAUAUACUAAUACAAUAACCUGGUAGGCUAUUUACCUUCAUUCUUAUUACACACUGAUACCUCUACAUUUUAUAUUUGUGUUACAGAUUCAAAUAUAGGAGAGGAAUUUAGAAAUAGAAAAAGAGUAUUUUGAAUGUGUAAUUUGUGUGCAAUGCAUCAUUGAUGUUUCAAAAUGUUGUUGCUUGAUGGCCUGGGUCUACUCAUGAUACAACUAUAAUUAACCAUUCCGAUUGAAAAGAUGCAUUGGUGUUUGUAAAAGAAGACUCCCUGUACAUCAUUGAAAAGUAGAUUAAAACUAGAAAAUAUGCAAGCUGUUAUUAUAGCUGCCAUGCUGCAUAAUAUCGUCAGAAGUAUGAAUUUAGAGGAAUUAGAAUCAGAAAUUUCAGUCGCAGAUACAUUACAGGAAAAUAAUAUAAUUGUUCGUAACAAAUUUUCAAAACUUACAUCUGAAAUACAACUAUGUACUUAUAAAUAAUUGCUUCCAAAGAUAAUUUGUAAAAUAAACUCCAAAGAUAAUUUGACUAUUUUUUAUUUUCCAAAAUGAUAAUUACAUGGUAGUUAGUACAUGCAAGAUAUUUAAUUUAGAAUUUGUACAUAUACUUAAAAAACUAUCUAACAUAAAAUUAUUAUUGCCUACUUAAUUUAUGAAAUUUAAUAUUCCUUUUAAGUAAUUUUUAAUUUUUUAAAUUAUCUAAAUCUAACUUAACUUUUGCUACAACAAUCUCCUUUUCUUUAUUUUCCAAGUCAAGUCUCUUUUUUGCUAUUAGAUAUUCUGCUAAUGCAUUGUCCCUAUGCUAGCCUUGCAUUUCUUUUCUUCCAUCUUGUUUCCGCUUGGCUGUAAAAGUGUUAAAAAUAUUAUAUGUGACCUACAACAAUGUGCAUGCUUUAUCCAAAAUUUCAUCUGCAAUCCUUACCACCUCCAGCCUGUAACAAAGAGCAUAAUUAUUUCAAAUACUACGGCAACCUGAAGAAAAAAUCAUGUUUAUCAAUGUGUUAUUAGAGACAAACAAUCAACUAAUUAUACUAACCUUACUAAGGUUGUUUCUUAUGUUGCCGUAGCGUUCUUUAAAUUUUCCCAUUUUAGUCGAAGCUGCGAUGGAGUUCGUGGGAAACGACGAAUCGACGAAUUAAAAUCAUUUACAAGGGUUUGCCAAGCCUGCUCCUUCAAUUUAUUGUUUGUGGCAUUUGUUGCCUUAUUAUUGAAAUGUUUUUUCGCCGCCACAAGUUCUGCUAGAAUCAUCGUCUCAUCUUUUGUCAUGGGUGCUGCCUUUCUUGACUGAAAAAGAUAUAUUUUCUAAACUUGAACUCAAAGUUUUCAAAGUAAAAUUAUUAUUAUCAAUGUAGUUCAUAGAUACUUACAGAAUUCAUUUUAUUUCACUGUAGCUCUUUAAUUAUAAACACACUUAGAAUUAUAAACGAAAGUUUUAAAGCGUUUUGGAGGUAAGUCAUCAUCUAAUAUAGUAGGUAAACAAUAGAAAAACAAACAAAAGAAACUAAUCACUGCUUAUUGGCAAACGGACUGUCAAAACGUUUCGUUUCAUAAUUUCGACUAGGAUAAAAAUAGCAAUACGUCCAAUUUAAAAAAAUCUACAUGUGUUUUUAUUACUUUUUGUUAUAAACAAAUGUGUUUAUGAUAGUCUACAAUAUGCUGGUUAAAUUAUAGUUAUAAUUUAGAAUAAAAUAAAAUAAGUCUUGAUCCUGAUGUUGUUUCGUAUUUGUAGUAGAACGAAACGUAUCAAGAGGCUCGGAUAAAUCGGAGGGAAGAAGCUAUCUACUGUUGGUUAAAGAGAGAUAGCACUUAUCCGUGAUUGUGAAACGCAAACUAAGGACAGAUACGCUCUUGCUGAUAUUCGGAGAUAGCUAUCUAUCCGAAAACUCAGAUACGUUAUUGAAAACGGCCGUUACGGCCGUUUUCAAUAACCUAUCUAUCCCUAGUUUCGGUUACUAAAGAUAGACAAAUCUAUAUUUUUGUCCUUACUUACGUUCCAAUAACCUAUCGACGGGCAGCAGUUCCUAUCGGAUUUAUCUAUCCAUCGUCGGGAGGACGGAUAGCCUGCUAAAGAUAGAACGCUCAUACAAAUCGUGCUUACUUCCGUUUCAAUAUGAGUUUUAAGUAACUCUCCGGUAGGCGGCGCUAUCUCUAGUAUGGGCAUUCGCUUAUCUGUCAAAAUCGGCCGGUUACAUGUUUAUCUUUCGAAAGUAAAUCGCUAUAAUUUAAUAAUUGUUUCUCUUCAUAUUGGCAUAUUGUAGCAGUGAUGAUAGUGAUAUGGAAUUAUUUCAAAUGAUAAUGGAUUGUGAUGCAGAUAGUGAUAGUGAGGCCGAUAUCAUAUGGUUAGGAAAAUAAAGAUCGUCUGAAUUACAUGGCGAAGAUCAAUAAUUACGAAUUUGACUAUAGAUUUCUGAGCAAAGGUGUUGUGAAUGAAUUGAUUAAUUUAAUGAGACCAUAUUUGAGUGUAACGUCAAAAAGAUUCAAAUAUAGGAGAGGAAUUUAGAAAUAGAAAAAGAGUAUUUUGAAUGUGUAAUUUGUGUGCAAUGCAUCAUUGAUGUUUCAAAAUGUUGUUGCUUGAUGGCCUGGGUCUACUCAUGAUACAACUAUAAUUAACCAUUCCGAUUGAAAAGAUGCAUUGGUGUUUGUAAAAGAAGACUCCCUGUAUAUCAUUGAAAAGUAGAUUAAAACUAGAAAAUAUGCAAGCUGUUAUUAUAGCUGCCAUGCUGCAUAAUAUCGUCAGAAGUAUGAAUUUAGAAGAAUUAGAAUCAGAAAUUUCAGUCGCAGAUACAUUACAGGAAAAUAAUAUAAUUGUUCGUAACAAUUUUUCAAAACUUACAUCUGAAAUACAACUAUGUACUUAUAAAUAAUUGCUUCCAAAGAUAAUUUAUAAAAUAAACUCCAAAGAUAA